UUAAACUUUAGACAUUAUAAUACAAACCUAUUUUAACUCCAAACUCUACUUAUAACUCCAAACCCUCUAUCGUAUUUCAAAUUAUAUACAACAUGUAUUAAUCCAUGACAUUUAAUCAAUCACACAAAUUGUCAAAAAUUUGAUACAAAUUUUAGAUUUUAAAAUUUAAAUUAUAAAUCAAAUUAUUUAAAAUUUUAGAUAGUUUUUAUAAUAACUACAAAUAAAUAAAGGAUAAUUUGUAUUGUUUAUUUUGAGCCAUUGAUGAGUUUAGAUCAAAGGCUCAAAACAACUAUUCUAUCAAUCCUCGCCUUUUGUUUCUAUUGGUUAGGCGUGGAUCACCUUUUGAACCGUUAGAUGGCAUCGAAUCAACGCUUGAGAUUAAUUGUUAUUUUUAAUUGUUUUUAAUUACUGUGAACAGAUCUCGUCUCAAACACGAGACAGAGACGAGAGAGAGAGAGAGAGAGAGAGAGAGAGAGAGAGAGAGAGAGAGAGAGAGGAGAUGGACUUCGAUGGGUAAGCAAGGAGGAGACGCGACGGUCGGUCACCACUACCGCUCGUCAUAACCACCUCCGAUUGAACCUUGUCACCUCCUCCUCUAUCAAACCCCUCUGAAUCUCCAACCCUUGUCACCACCACCAUCGCUACUCAGAUCCAUCUUGACCGGAGUCGCUACCACCACCGCUCGUCAUAACCACCACUGAUUACAUCUCUGUCUCUCACAUCGAUUUGGAGUAUGCUUCUCAGACGCAAGAAUUCCAAGAGGGAUGAGAUGGAAGUUGUGGUGAGAUGGAAGUGGUGGUGGUCUCGGCAUCAACAGUGGUAGUCUCGGCGUCGACAAUGGUGGCUGAGUGCGGUGGAGGAGAUUGAAGAAGCUUGCUGUGGUGGUCGUGGCUGGUGGUGGUCGUGGCUGGUGGUAUGGGCGUCAACAAGGAGAGCGGCGGAGAUGAAGAAGAACGUGGUUUAGUUAGGGUUAGUUAGGUUUAGUUAGGGUUGGUUAAUAAACCGGGUUUGUAUGUAAACCAGUUUUUUGUAAUAAACCGAUAUCAUUUUGUAAACCAAAAUUUCAAUUAUAAAUAAUUUUAUUCUCAAACCAAA